rnacentral:lncRNA from 1 species
AAGGAUACAGCUUGCUUGAACAAUGUUAGGAGUCUUGUGCUAUACCACCCUCAACUCACAGAUUCCUUAAAAGAGAUAUCUUGAUUAAAACCUCUAAUGGAUAUAGUAGAAUCAAUGUCAUGGCUAGUCUAACAGGCUGGAACUAGAUCUUGAAAUGUCUUCAAAUAUAUUUUUAUAAGCAUGUUUAUUGUAUUGGUUUCAAAAUAAUGGAAUCUUUUAAGUUUCAAAGAACCCUGGCAAUUGUCUAACUGGGUAUCCCAUUUAUUUCACAUCCUGGGCAGGUGAAGAAGAUUCAUGUAUUGCUUAGACACUUCAGGGUAUUCUUUUGACAUCCAUAUGAGUAACAGGGACCUACAGGAAUCAGCCACAGAUCCUAUGAAAAACAUUCAACAUUUGGCUAAUGAGACUUAUAAUGAGCUACUCAUCAUUCUAGCACUGAUGUGUACCAUGAGAUGCCAAAAAAAUUAUCUGCUUUAAUCUCUUGGCUGGUAUGUGGAAUGAGAAGAGUUUGUAAAGCACAUUUAUAGAUGAAGACUCCCUAGAAUCUAUCCCUCAUACUGCCUAAAUGAAAUGGGAGGCAGGCUAAUACCAGAAUUUAUUUACUACCUGUGUUCUUAACUUGUUCGUUGGUAUCAUUGACCCUUUUAACAGUCUAGAAAGCCCAUGGAGGCCUUUUAAAAAUAGAGUUGUAAAUAUAUACAGGAAAAUACAUAGGACUUCAAAGGAAAUUAAUUAUACUGGAAUGCCAUUAUGAAUAUUAAAAAUGUGUGAUAUAGUCAUGUGUGUCCUUUAUGCAUUUAAUAGCAAAAUAUAACAGCAGCUCUAAAAACAGCUAUAAUUUGAAAGAAGAGAUAACAUAACAUAAAAUAACAUAAAUGAUAUUUUGAGAUCUCUAGAACACCUGUAAUGUCUAUUGGUGACAAAGUCACAGAAAGUGCCAAAGCUAGUGUACUUUUUGUUCUACAUUAAUAAUUGAAGGAAAUGUUAAAUUGCAGCCAGAGAG